GACUGCACCCAGUCUCAUCUGAUUCUGGAAGCUAAGC
rnacentral:rRNA from 1 species